rnacentral:rRNA from 1 species
UACGUAGGGUGCGAGCGUUGCCCGGAUUUAUUGGGCGUAAAGCGCGCGCAGGCGGUCCUUUAAGUCUGAUGUGAAAGCCCACGGCUCAACCGUGGAGGGUCAUUGGAAACUGGGGGACUUGAGUGCAGAAGAGGAAAGCGGAAUUCCACGUGUAGCGGUGAAAUGCGUAGAGAUGUGGAGGAACACCAGUGGCGAAGGCGGCUUUCUGGUCUGUAACUGACGCUGAGGCGCGAAAGCGUGGGGAGCAAACAGG